rnacentral:rRNA from 1 species
UACGUAGGGUGCAAGCGUUGUCCGGAAUUAUUGGGCGUAAAGAGCUCGUAGGCGGUCUGUCGCGUCGGAUGUGAAAAUCCAGGGCUCAACCCUGGACCUGCAUUCGAUACGGGCAGACUAGAGUUCGGUAGGGGAGACUGGAAUUCCUGGUGUAGCGGUGAAAUUCGUAGAUAUCAAGCAGAACACCUGCGGCGAAGGCGGCCUUCUGGACGAUGACUGACGCUGAGACGCGAAAGCGUGGGGAGCAAACAGG